AACGAACGCUGGUGGAGUGUCUUAUACAUGCAAGUCGAGCGGACCUCUUCGGAGGUCAGCGGCGGACGGGUGAGUAACACGUGGGCAACCUGCCUGUAAGACUGGGAUAACUCCGGGAAACCGGAGCUAAUACCGGAUACUAUGUCAAACCGCAUGGUUUGACAUUCAAAGACGGUUUCGGCUGUCACUUACAGAUGGGCCCGCGGCGCAUUAGCUAGUUGGUGAGGUAACGGCUCACCAAGGCGACGAUGCGUAGCCGACCUGAGAGGGUGAUCGGCCACACUGGGACUGAGACACGGCCCAGACUCCUACGGGAGGCAGCAGUAGGGAAUCUUCCGCAAUGGACGAAAGUCUGACGGAGCAACGCCGCGUGAGUGAUGAAGGUUUUCGGAUCGUAAAACUCUGUUGUCAGGGAAGAACAAGUGCCGGAGUAACUGCCGGCGCCUUGACGGUACCUGACCAGAAAGCCACGGCUAACUACGUGCCAGCAGCCGCCGUAA
rnacentral:rRNA from 1 species